AUUGAACGCUGGCGGCAGGCCUAACACAUGCAAGUCGAGCGGUAGAGAGAAGCUUGCUUCUCUUGAGAGCGGCGGACGGGUGAGUAAUGCCUAGGAAUCUGCCUGGUAGUGGGGGAUAACGUUCGGAAACGGACGCUAAUACCGCAUACGUCCUACGGGAGAAAGCAGGGGACCUUCGGGCCUUGCGCUAUCAGAUGGGCCUAGGUCGGAUUAGCUAGUUGGCGGGGUAAUGGCUCACCAAGGCGACGAUCCGUAACUGGUCUGAGAGGAUGAUCAGUCACACUGGAACUGAGACACGGUCCAGACUCCUACGGGAGGCAGCAGUGGGGAAUAUUGGACAAUGGGCGAAAGCCUGAUCCAGCCAUGCCGCGUGUGUGAAGAAGGUCUUCGGAUUGUAAAGCACUUUAAGUUGGGAGGAAGGGCAGUAAAUUAAUACUUUGCUGUUUUGACGUUACCGACAGAAUAAGCACCGGCUAACUCUGUG
rnacentral:rRNA from 1 species